CCUACGGGUGGCAGCAGUGGGGAAUAUUGGGCAAUGGGCGCAAGCCUGACCCAGCAACGCCGCGUGCAGGAAGAAGGCUUUCGGGUUGUAAACUUCUUUUCUGAGGGACGAAGAAAGUGACGGUACCUCAGGAAUAAGCCACGGCUAACUACGUGCCAGCAGCCGCGGUAAUACGUAGGUGGCAAGCGUUAUCCGGAUUUAUUGGGGGUAAAGGGCGUGUAGGCGGGAAAGCAAGUCAGAUGUGAAAACUCAGGGCUCAACCCUGAGCCUGCAUUUGAAACUGUUUUUCUUGAGUGCUGGAGAGGCAAUCGGAAUUCCGUGUGUAGCGGGGAAAUGCGUAGAUAUACGGAGGAAAACCAGUGGCGAAAGCGGCUCUCUGGUCUGUAACUGACGCUGAGGUUCGAAAGCGUGGGUAGCAAACAGGAUUAGAUACCCCAGUAGUC
rnacentral:rRNA from 1 species